GACGGAGGGUGCAAGCGUUGUUCGGAUUGACUGGGCGUAAAGGGCGUGUAGGCGGUCGGCCAAGUCUGAUGUGAAAGCCCGAGGCUCAGCCUCGGAAGUGCGUCGGAAACUAGUCGGCUGGAGCGCGAUAGAGGAGGGUGGAAUUCCUGGUGUAGCGGUGGAAUGCGCAGAUAUCAGGAGGAACACCAAUGGCGAAGGCAGCUCGCUGGGACGGUACUGACGCUGAGACGCGAAAGCGUGGGGAGCAAACAGG
rnacentral:rRNA from 1 species